CUAGUAAUCGCAGAUCAGAAUGCUGCGGUGAAUACGUUCCCGGGCCUUGUACACACCGCCCGUCACACCAUGGGAGCCGGUAAUACCCGAAGUCAGUAGUCUAACCGCAAGGGGGACGCUGCCGAAGGUAGGAUUGGCGACUGGGGUGAAGUCGUAACAAGGUACC
rnacentral:rRNA from 1 species